rnacentral:rRNA from 1 species
GUGCCAGCCGCCGCGGUAAUACCGGCAGCCCGAGUGAUGGCCGAUAUUAUUGGGCCUAAAGCGUCCGUAGCUGGCCGAACAAGUCCGUCGGGAAAUCCACGUGCUUAACACGUGGGCGUCCGACGGAAACUGCAUAGCUUGGGACCGGAAGGCGCGACGGGUACGUCCGGGGUAGGAGUGAAAUCCCGUAAUCCUGGACGGACCGCCGAUGGCGAAAGCACGUCGCGAGAACGGAUCCGACAGUGAGGGACGAAAGCCAGGGUCUCGAACCGGAUUAGAAACCCCAGUAGUCC